rnacentral:misc_RNA from 1 species
AAUGGUUAUAUAAUGCGAUAACAUCAUUUGAUUGUGAUGAUGGUAACAUAACAAAUGAGAGAAUGUGAGCCAUAUUAUAGUCAUGUGCUGAUCUGGCGUCCACAUUGCAAUAUAUCCAAGACAAAAUCAAACCUGAUAUUGAAAAUUCAAUCUUGUAAGAGUAUGUUAUGUGUUACUGCUUAAAAAACACUUGCAUACAGUAUCCCUAAUAAAAUAUACUUGAA